rnacentral:rRNA from 1 species
AUGGCGACGACACUCGCGGGCCGCCGCCUGCUCCUCCUGCGGCGAUGCGCGGCCGGGCGGCGGCUGCUCGGCACGGCGGCGGAGGCGUCUCCGGGCGGGGAGGAGGCGGGCGGCGAGGCGAUCUACGUGAGGAAGCCCUCGUCCUCGUCGACGCGGGACGAGACCUCGGUGUCCAUGCCCAUGUCCUUCAUGACGGGGUCCGUGGUGGGGAAGCGGUUCUACCGCGACGCCACCGUGCGCCGCGCAGACGACGGGAACGGGUGGACCGUCAUGCUCGACUACCGCACCCUCAAGACGCCGGCUAAGCGGCCGCUCAAGCUGCACUCGCGCACGCUCGCCAUGGCCGUCGCCGCCGAGUGGGAGUACCAGGAACAAGAUGGAAUCCGGCCUUUUACAAUGCCUCUUAUGAAGCUUGCUUGUACUGCACUGGAGAGAGUUCCGUUGACACGAACAAAAAUAAUUACCAAUUUGAUGCAAAAAUUCCAUCAAGAUUUGGUAUUUUGCCGCUCACCUGCCGAUGAUGAACUUACAAAAGGAGUUUAUGAAAAACAGAAGGAGAAAAUUGACCCAGUACUGGACUGGGUCAACACUGAGUUUGGGUUCAAGCCUGUUGUGCACACAAGUUUUUUAGGAGGGAAGCAGGAUGAGCGGCUAGCUAAGGCUGUAGAAACCGUUCUGAAGGAUGCAAAUGAUUGUGAGCUGGCAUCUAUUGAUGCUAUGGCUGCAGCAGCUCAUUCCUUGGUUAUCCCUCUCGCAAUCUUUAGAGGAAGGCUGGGAGUUGAUGAGUCCAUUGAGCUGAUCAGACUUGAAGAAGAUCACCAGGUCGAUCGAUGGGGCCUGGUUGAAGGAGGCCAUGAUGUUGAUAUUGCUGAUCUUAAAGUCCAGAUGUCAUCGGCUGUUGUGUUCCUUCAACUUUCAUGGCUGAAGUAA